rnacentral:rRNA from 1 species
UACGUAGGGGGCAAGCGUUGUCCGGAAUCAUUGGGCGUAAAGCGCGUGUAGGCGGUCCGGUAAGUCCGCUGUGAAAGUCAGGGGCUCAACCCUUGAAAGCCGGCCGAUACUGUCGGACUAGAGUCCGGAAGAGGCGAGUGGAAUUCCCGGUGUAGCGGUGAAAUGCGCAGAUAUCGGGAGGAACACCAAUGGCGAAGGCAGCUCGCUGGGACGGUACUGACGCUGAGGCGCGAAAGCGUGGGGAGCAAACAGG